rnacentral:rRNA from 1 species
AUUGAACGCUGGCGGCAGGCCUAACACAUGCAAGUCGAGCGGAUGAAGGGAGCUUGCUCCUGGAUUCAGCGGCGGACGGGUGAGUAAUGCCUAGGAAUCUGCCUGGUAGUGGGGGAUAACGUCCGGAAACGGGCGCUAAUACCGCAUACGUCCUGAGGGAGAAAGUGGGGGAUCUUCGGACCUCACGCUAUCAGAUGAGCCUAGGUCGGAUUAGCUAGUUGGUGGGGUAAAGGCCUACCAAGGCGACGAUCCGUAACUGGUCUGAGAGGAUGAUCAGUCACACUGGAACUGAGACACGGUCCAGACUCCUACGGGAGGCAGCAGUGGGGAAUAUUGGACAAAGGGCGAAAGCCUGAUCCAGCCAUGCCGCGUGUGUGAAGAAGGUCUUCGGAUUGUAAAGCAUUUUAAGUUGGGAGGAAGGGCAGUAAGUUAAUACCUUGCUGUUUUGACGUUACCAACAGAAUAAGCACCGGCUAACUUCGUG